UACGGAAGGCAGCAGUGGGGAAUAUUGCACAAUGGGCGAAAGCCUGAUGCAGCUAUGCCUCGUGUAUGAAGAAGGCCUUAGGGUUGUAAAGUACUUUCAUCGGGGAGGAAAAAACAAAACUAAUAAUUUUAUUUCUUGACGUUACCCGAAAAAGAAGCACCGGCUAACUCCGUGCCAGCAGCCGCGGUAAUACGGAGGGUGCUAGCGUUAAUCAGAAUUACUGGGCGUAAAGAGCACGUAGGUGGUUUUUUAAGUCAGAUGUGAAAUCCCUGGGCUUAACCUGGAACUGCAUUUUGAAACUGAAAUACUAGAGUAUCGUAGAGGGAGGUAGAAUUCUAGGUGUAGCGGUGAAAUGCGUAGAUAUCUGGAGGAAUACCUGUGGCGAAAGCGGCCUCCUAAACGAAUACUGACACUGAGGUGCGAAAGCGUGGGGAGCAAACAGGGAUUAGAUACC
rnacentral:rRNA from 1 species